rnacentral:rRNA from 1 species
AAUGAACGUUGGCGGCGUGGAUUAGGCAUGCAAGUCGUGCGGAAAGGCUCCUUCGGGAGUACUCGAGCGGCGAAAGGGAGAGUAACGCGUGGAUAUCUACCCCCUGGACUGGGAUAGCGGCGGGAAACUGCCGGUAAUACCAGAUAAUGUCUGCGGACCAAAGGAGUGAUUCCGCCGGUGGAUGAGUCCGCGUCCUAUUAGCUAGUUGGUGGGGGAAUGGCCCACCAAGGCAAAGAUGGGUACCGGGUGUGAGAGCAUGGCCCGGCUCACUGGGACUGAGACACUGCCCAGACACCUACGGGUGGCUGCAGUCGAGAAUCUUCGGCAAUGGGCGCAAGCCUGACCGAGCGACGCCGCGUGCGGGAUGAAGGCCUUCGGGUUGUAAACCGCUGUCAGAGGGGAGGAAAUGCAUGAGGGUUCUCUCUCAUGUUUGACCUAUCCUCAGAGGAAGUACGGGCUAAGUUCGUGCCAGCAGCCGCGGUAAAAC